rnacentral:rRNA from 1 species
GACGAACGCUGGCGGCGUGCUUAACACAUGCAAGUCGAACGGUGAAGGGAUCAGCUUGCUGGUUCUGGAUGAGUGGCGAACGGGUGAGUAACACGUGAGUAACCUGCCCCCUUCUUCUGGAUAACCGCAUGAAAGUGUGGCUAAUACGGGAUAUUCUGCGCCUGCUGCAUGGUGGGUGUGGGAAAGAUAUUGUUUCGGUGGGGGAUGGGCUCGCGGCCUAUCAGCUUGUUGGUGGGGUGAUGGCCUACCAAGGCGGUGACGGGUAGCCGGCCUGAGAGGGUGGACGGUCACACUGGGACUGAGACACGGCCCAGACUCCUACGGGAGGCAGCAGUGGGGAAUAUUGCACAAUGGGCGCAAGCCUGAUGCAGCGACGCCGCGUGAGGGAUGGAGGCCUUCGGGUUGUGAACCUCUUUCGCCAGUGAAGCAGGCCUGUCCCUUGUGGGUGGGUUGACGGUAGCUGGAUAAGAAGCGCCGGCUAAGUACGUG